rnacentral:misc_RNA from 1 species
AACGCAAAUUGCGCUCGAGGCUUCGGCCAAGAGCAUGUCUGCCUCAGCGUCGGGUAAAAACUCGCUCACAGUUACACUGUGUGCGGAACUGACUGUCUCAUAACAAUCACUUGUGAUGGGUCAGUUGAAGUGUGCAGCUGUUGGUACAUGGACCCGCUAAUGGGCCUCUACUGGGUAAGCAAUCUUUGCUACAUGCCUUAGUAGGUGGCUUAGGAUCCUUGUGUGCUGACACAAAGCAGGACUAUGCAUCCGUGCAUAUCAGAUCUCUUUGCCACGACCUGAGCUCAGGCAAGAUUAGCCGCUGAACUUAA